rnacentral:rRNA from 1 species
UUAUGGCUCAGGACGAACGCUGGCGGCGUGCUUAACACAUGCAAGUCGAACGGUGAAGCGGAGCUUGCUCUGCGGAUCAGUGGCGAACGGGUGAGUAACACGUGAGCAACCUACCCUUGACGGUCUGGGAUAACAGUUGGAAACAGCUGCUAAUACCGGAUAUGACCCUGGUGGACAUCCACUGGGGUGGAAAGCUCCGACGGUCAAGGAUGGGCUCGCGGCCUAUCAGCUUGUUGGUGAGGUAACGGCUCACCAAGGCGUCGACGGGUAGCCGGCCUGAGAGGGCGACCGGCCACACUGGGACUGAGAUACGGCCCAGACUCCUACGGGAGGCAGCAGUGGGGAAUAUUGCACAAUGGGCGAAAGCCUGAUGCCAGCAACGCCGCGUGCGGGAUGACGGCCUUCGGGUUGUAAACCGCUUUCAGCAGGGACGAAGGGUUUCUGACGGUACCUGCAGAAGAAGCACCGGCUAACUACGUGCCAGCCGCCGC